rnacentral:lncRNA from 1 species
CUUCAGCAAAUUCGGACCUUCUCUCAUGAUCGCUGCACCUCCUGUCGGCAUCUCAAAGAUCUGUUCUUUCGGUGAGUUCCAUGUAAUAACGUAGAACUCUUCGACCUGCGCUUUGCGGAGAAGACCGCCGGUGCUUCCCGCGAAGAUCGGAGACGGUGUGUUUGGGUCUAGCUGUGGCGGCGUGAAUCCCACCGGAGCUUCUUUUUCUUUUUUCACGGCGGGGGCUGCGGCGGCGGCGGAAUCUGUUUUCUCGGCGCGGAUUGCGGUUUUGGUGAAGGAGAGGGAUCUGGGACGGUGGGUUGUUGUGAAAAAGUGGAGUUUCUUUACAUCGGAGGUUGCGGCGGUUGUUAUGGCGGAGCUAAAGAUUCCGGCGGCUUGAGUUGCCAUCUCUUUUUUCUUCUUUUUUCUUUGUUCGUUUUCUUCUCUAAUGAGAAAAUUUUGGUUAAUAGUGUAUUUG